AGUGAACGCUGGCGGUAGGCCUAACACAUGCAAGUCGAACGGCAGCACAGUAAGAGCUUGCUCUUACGGGUGGCGAGUGGCGGACGGGUGAGGAAUACAUCGGAAUCUACUUUUUCGUGGGGGAUAACGUAGGGAAACUUACGCUAAUACCGCAUACGACCUACGGGUGAAAGCAGGGGAUCUUCGGACCUUGUGCGAUUGAAUGAGCCGAUGUCGGAUUAGCUAGUUGGCGGGGUAAAGACCCACCAAGGCGACGAUCCGUAGCUGGUCUGAGAGGAUGAUCAGCCACACUGGAACUGAGACACGGUCCAGACUCCUACGGGAGGCAGCAGUGGGGAAUAUUGGACAAUGGGCGCAAGCCUGAUCCAGCCAUACCGCGUGGGUGAAGAAGGCCUUCGGGUUGUAAAGCCCUUUUGUUGGGAAAGAAAAGCAGCAGGUUAAUACCCCGCUGUUCUGACGGUACCCAAAGAAUAAGCACCGGCUAACUUCGUG
rnacentral:rRNA from 1 species